rnacentral:rRNA from 1 species
AACGAACGCUGGCGGCGUGCUUAACACAUGCAAGUCGAACGGCAACGCCCUGCUUGUUUGCUGUGCUCGAGUGGCGAACGGGUGAGUAACAGGUGUGUAACCUACCCUUCACUUUGGGAUAACUUCAGGAAACUGGGGCUAAUACCAGAUAGGAUCUCCCGCUGCAUGGUAGGCGUGGGAAAGUUUCGGCGGUUGGGGAUGGAUGGGCGGCUUAUCGGCUUGCUGGUGGGGUAGUGGCAUACCAAGGCUUGGGCCGGUAGCCGGCCUGGGAGGGUGGCCGGCCACAUUGGGCCUGCGAUACGGCGCAGAGUCCAACGGGAGGCAGCGGUGGGGAAUAUUGUACAGUGGGAGGGAGUGUGAUGAAGCAACGCCGCGGGCGGGAUGACGGCCUGCUGGUAGUAAACCGCAUUAGCUUGAGACGAAGCGUUAGUGACGGUAAUGGGUAAAGAAGCACCGGCUAACUACGUG